rnacentral:rRNA from 1 species
GAUGAACGCUAGCGGCAGGCCUAACACAUGCAAGUCGAGGGGCAGCACAGGUAGCAAUACUGGGUGGCGACCGGCGGAUGGGUGCGUAACGCGUAUGCAACCUACCAUUGAUUGGGGCAUAGCCCGAAGAAAUUCGGAUUAAUACUCCAUAAUAUUCAUCAAAGGCAUCUUUUAUGAAUUAAAGCUUUUGCGAUCAAUGAUGGGCAUGCGUGACAUUAGUUAGUUGGUGAGGUAACGGCUCACCAAAACGAUGAUGUCUAGGGGUUCUGAGAGGAUUAUCCCCCAACUGGUACUGAGACACGGACCAGACUCCUACGGGAGGCAGCAGUGAGGAAUAUUGGUCAAUGGACGCAAGUCUGAACCAGCCAUGCCGCGUGCAGGAUGACGGCCCUAUGGGUUGUAAACUGCUUUGUACGGAACGAAAAGGUCCUUUCUAAUAAAGAGGGCUCAUGACGGUACCGUAAGAAUAAGCACCGGCUAACU